rnacentral:rRNA from 1 species
GACGGAGGAUGCAAGUGUUAUCCGGAAUCACUGGGCGUAAAGCGUCUGUAGGUGGUUUAAUAAGUCAACUGUUAAAUCUUGAGGCUCAACCUCAAAAUCGCAGUCGAAACUAUUAGGCUAGAGUAUAGUAGGGGUAAAGGGAAUUUCCAGUGGAGCGGUGAAAUGCGUAGAGAUUGGAAAGAACACCGAUGGCGAAGGCGGGUCUCUGGGCAUCUCCUGACGCUGAGGCGCGAAAGCGUGGGGAGCAAACGGG